CCCUUAGAUGUUCUGGGCUGCACGCGCGCUACACUGAUGCGCUCAACGAGUUUUAACCUUGCCUGGAAAGGUUGGGUAAUCUUUUUAAAACGCAUCGUGAUGGGGAUAGAUUAUUGCAAUUAUUAAUCUUCAACGAGGAAUUCCUAGUAAGCGCGAGUCAUCAGCUCGUGCUGAUUACGUCCCUGCCCUUUGUACACACCGCCCGUCGCUCCUACCGAUUGAAUGAUCCGAUGAAUAUCAUGGAUUGAGGAUGCAAGUAGGUUAGCCUAUCUUCAUCUUCGAGAAGUGAAGUAAAUCUUAUCAUUUAGAGGAAGGAGAAGUCGUAACA
rnacentral:rRNA from 1 species